CAAAGGAUAGUUUACUAAAAUAUUAAUUUUGGAGAUUAAAGAUAAAUUGUUAUUAAUUUUCCUUUGA
rnacentral:tRNA from 1 species